rnacentral:rRNA from 1 species
ACUCCUACGGGAGGCAGCAGUGGGGAAUUUUGGACAAUGGGCGAAAGCCUGAUCCAGCAAUGCCGCGUGUGUGAAGAAGGCCUUCGGGUUGUAAAGCACUUUUGUCCGGAAAGAAAUCCUUGGCUCUAAUACAGUCGGGGGAUGACGGUACCGGAAGAAUAAGCACCGGCUAACUACGUGCCAGCAGCCGCGGUAAUACGUAGGGUGCGAGCGUUAAUCGGAAUUACUGGGCGUAAAGCGUGCGCAGGCGGUUUGCUAAGACCGAUGUGAAAUCCCCGGGCUCAACCUGGGAACUGCAUUGGUGACUGGCAGGCUAGAGUAUGGCAGAGGGGGGUAGAAUUCCACGUGUAGCAGUGAAAUGCGUAGAGAUGUGGAGGAAUACCGAUGGCGAAGGCAGCCCCCUGGGCCAAUACUGACGCUCAUGCACGAAAGCGUGGGGAGCAAACAGGAUUAGAAACCCCGGUAGUCCC